AUUGAACGCUGGCGGCAGGCCUAACACAUGCACGUCGAACGCGUGGCGGACGGGUGAGUACUGUCUGGGCAACUGCCUGAUUGAGGGGGAUAACUCCUGGAAACUGUAGCUAAUACCGCAUACCAUCCGAUUUGCCCAGAUGGGAUUAGCUAGUUGGUGGGGUAACGGCUCACCCAGGCGACGAUCCCUAGCUGGUCUGAGAGGAUGACCAGCCACACUGGAACUGAGACACGGUCCAGACUCCUACGGGAGGCAGCAGUGGGGAAUAUUGCACAAUGGGCGCAAGCCUGAUGCAGCCAUGCCGCGUGUAUGAAGAAGGCCUUCGGGUUGUAAAGUACUUUCAGCGGGGAGGCGUUACCCGCAGAAGAAGCACCGGCUAACUCCGUGCCAGCAGCCGCGGUAAUUC
rnacentral:rRNA from 1 species